CCUACGGGGGGCAGCAGUGAGGAAUAUUGGUCAAUGGGCGCGAGCCUGAACCAGCCAAGUCGCGUGAGGGAAGACGGUCCUAUGGAUUGUAAACCUCUUUUGUCGGGGAGCAAGGCCCGCCACGUGUGGCGGGAAGGAGAGUACCCGAAGAAAAAGCAUCGGCUAACUCCGUGCCAGCAGCCGCGGUAAUACGGAGGAUGCGAGCGUUAUCCGGAUUUAUUGGGUUUAAAGGGUGCGUAGGCGGAAGGUUAAGUCAGCGGUAAAAUGUCGGUGCUCAACACCGGCCUGCCGUUGAAACUGGUCUUCUUGAGUGAGCGAGAAGUAUGCGGAAUGCGUGGUGUAGCGGUGAAAUGCAUAGAUAUCACGCAGAACUCCGAUUGCGAAGGCAGCAUACCGGCGCUCAACUGACGCUGAGGCACGAAAGCGUGGGGAUCGAACAGGAUUAGAUACCCUAGUAGUC
rnacentral:rRNA from 1 species